AACGAACGCUGGCGGCGCGUCUUAAGCAUGCAAGUCGAACGGCAAGGGCAGCAAUGCCCCUAGAGUGGCGGACUGGUGAGUAACACGUGGGUGACCUACCCUUAAGUUGGGGAUAACCAUUAGAAAUAGUGGAUAAUACCGAAUACGCUUGCGACACUUUGGUGAUGCAAGGAAAGGAGCUACGGCUCCGCUUGAGGAUGGGCCCGCGUCCCAUUAGCUAGUUGGUGAGGUAAAGGCCCACCAAGGCGACGAUGGGUAUCCGGCCUGAGAGGGUGUACGGACACAUUGGGACUGAGAUACGGCCCAAACUCCUACGGGAGGCAGCAGCUAAGAUAUUCCGCAAUGGACGAAAGUCUGACGGAGCGACGCCGCGUGGAUGAAGAAGGCCGAAAAGGUUGUAAAAUCCUUUGCUGAUGAAGAAUAAGUAUGGUAGGGAAUGACCGUAUGAUGACAUUAGUCGGUGAAGUAAGCCCCGGCUAACUACGUG
rnacentral:rRNA from 1 species